CCUACGGGGGGCAGCAGUGGGGAAUAUUGCACAAUGGGCGAAAGCCUGAUGCAGCAACGCCGCGUGAAGGAAGAAGGGUUUCGGCUCGUAAACUUCUAUUAACAGGGACGAAAGAAAUGACGGUACCUGAAUAAGAAGCCCCGGCUAACUACGUGCCAGUAGCCGCGGUAAUACGUAGGGGGCAAGCGUUAUCCGGAAUUACUGGGUGUAAAGGGUGAGUAGGCGGCAUGGUAAGCCAGAUGUGAAAGCCUUGGGCUUAACCCGAGGAUUGCAUUUGGAACUAUCAAGCUAGAGUACAGGAGAGGAAAGCGGAAUUCCUAGUGUAGCGGUGAAAUGCGUAGAUAUCACACAGAACACCGAUUGCGAAGGCAUCUCACGAAUCCGCGAUUGACGCUGAUGCACGAAAGCGUGGGUAUCAAACAGGAUUAGAUACCCGUGUAGUC
rnacentral:rRNA from 1 species